rnacentral:rRNA from 1 species
GGGAUCAUUACCGAGUUUACAACUCCCAAACCCAAUGUGAACGUUACCAAACUGUUGCCUCGGCGGGAUCUCUGCCCCGGGUGCGUCGCAGCCCCGGACCAAGGCGCCCGCCGGAGGACCAACCAAAACUCUUAUUGUAUACCCCCUCGCGGGUUUUUUUAUAAUCUGAGCCUUCUCGGCGCCUCUCGUAGGCGUUUCGAAAAUGAAUCAAAACUUUCAACAACGGAUCUCUUGGUUCUGGCAUCGAUGAAGAACGCAGCGAAAUGCGAUAAGUAAUGUGAAUUGCAGAAUUCAGUGAAUCAUCGAAUCUUUGAACGCACAUUGCGCCCGCCAGUAUUCUGGCGGGCAUGCCUGUCCGAGCGUCAUUUCAACCCUCGAACCCCUCCGGGGGGUCGGCGUUGGGGAUCGGCCCUCCCUUAGCGGGUGGCCGUCUCCGAAAUACAGUGGCGGUCUCGCCGCAGCCUCUCCUGCGCAGUAGUUUGCACACUCGCAUCGGGAGCGCGGCGCGUCCACAGCCGUUAAACACCCAACUUCUGAAAUGUUGACCUCGGAUCAGGUAGGAAUACCCGC